rnacentral:lncRNA from 1 species
AUAAGAAUCAAUAUACUGUUCUUGUAAACAGCUCUAAUCAAAAAGCCGGGCCUGGCGUCACAAUAUAGAAUGCAAAUAAGCAACAUGUUCCCAAAAAGUUUCAUCUUUUUUCCGGCGAAGGCAAAUACUUAGAGACUUAAAAACAUAUCUUACAAUAGAAAUGAGCCUGAACAAUGCAUAAACACAUGGCAAAUUACAGGUGUCAAACUCGGCAAAGCGGCAUGCUGAUAACAGCGGAAAUCAUGCACACCCAUGACCUCUAAAAAUCUCUGCUAUAUAUAGCACAGUCUUACAGCUCAACUCUACUUAAAAUUCCUCCCUAUAACACAACAUAAAUUGCUCCUCAUAAACACAAGUGAAGCAACAAGAAAGGUCAAGAGACCGAACAGAGAAUGGCAGGAGUCAUGUACAGCUCUUGUCAACCCCAUUUUACAACAAUGUGUUCUGAGAUUGGGGAUUGCAAACUCCAGUCACCAUUAACAUGGACGACUAAGCGAACGGGAUGGAACUGUCCUGCUUGGUGAUUGUAGUUUUGUUUAUCUGAAGGAGUGAUCACACCACAAGCAUACUAUCGGGAAACUGAGUAGCUGGUUCAGAGUCUUCAAGUGGACAAGGCUUGGAAGUGAGAUGUAAAAUGCCGACACGAAAACCAGUGGCUGAAAGUUUCUUGUGCCUACUUUCCAGUUGAUCCAAGUCUUCAGAAUUUUUUGGCUUUAUUCUGCUGCAUCUCCUGGAGUUUUUUCUUUGCAGGACAUCCUUCAAAUUUGACGUUUCGUGAUCGUCUUUUUCACUGUCAAGACUACUCAUGCUGUCAACGUCACCCAGCAUCGCCUAGAUCUUCACGACCAAAAUCCAAAGGGUUCCUUACUUUUGUUAGGCCCUCUCCUCCAGCCAAGUCCAAAUUCCCUACAGAACACUUCAUCUUACAAGAAGUUACCAGCAACAAGAACGAAAAACCACCAAACAAAGCACAAAAAUCCACAACAUUAACAAACCAGACUAAGAAAAUACAAGGUGAUUCCAGAUGUAUGAAUGCCAGUUUCAAGUGUUCUACUACGUUCUUAACUUCUGGUUAGCUGAUACCCAGUUUCCCUCAGUUGUAACAUUGGAAAAGAGAUCAAAAUAGAAAGGAAAAUGGGAGAAGGAAUAGAGAUCAGCCUUCCCCUUUGGUGGCCAUUUCUCUUUUAGGCUGUUAAGUGGACAUCUGCGAAAACAAGAUUAUUUUCCCCGAAAGUUAAAGAACUCCUGCAGAUACAUGUAUCACAAUUUUAAAAAUAAAAAUAUACGGGGCAGGGUUGAUUCAGGGUUACAAUUCGUAUGGAGGCUCUGGGUAAUUGGGCUCCUGUCAAUACCCAAUAUGUCGCAACAUGGUGGCCAAAUGCACGCAACAUGUUGCACCCAACAAUCAAUGUAUUGCAUUACAAUGUUACGGUUGCAAUCAUUUGGCCGAAGCUUGCAAGUGCUAGGCCAACAAUGUUGUGUUGAAAUGUUGUGAUCGUUUGGCCGUUGCUUUAACUGUGGGUGUAAUUUGAUUCAAGCCCUGCUGAAUCUUGGAUAGUGUGGGAACGACUGUGAAUAUUGCUGUUAGUUGACACAGACAAGCUGACCUUUGUUCUUUGUGCCACAUAUUUUAAACUUUUUUUUUUCGUCUUAUUUUCAGGUCUGACUUCUGAAUUCUCUGCUAUGGAUUCAACAGCCGUUCUUACACUUCACAGCAUGGCUAAGGAUAAAUAAGAACACAGCCACCACCGAACCAAGCUUCACUCAGUCUCAUUGUCCUUCAAGCCCAGUGAAAAGAAACAACACACAUCAGUUUACCAAUAGGCCAAUGAACGCAUUUAUACUAUUUGCUAAACGUUUUCGAGUGGAGUAAUAACCCAGGCCCACUCUGGAAAAGAUAACAGGUAAAACUUGUCACAGUGUCAUGAUUGGCAUGGACAGACAGACAGGCAGACAACAGUAUCAUCAUGGUGUUCUUCAGACUUCAGGAAAAUGUCAAGAACAGAUUUGAAAAGAUGAAAAAAUCAAAAGCUUCUUAGGACAGAAGGACAAGUGCAGGAUUAUGGCUUUCAUAACAGUCACGGUUCGUUGGCACUUAUGAUGAAUCGAAUAUUGCAAGCCAGGAAUAUUCUCAUCCAAACAAGAGACAAGUUCAUUAAGAGGUAGAAAGCAAUGUAAGCGAACGUUUAGUUCAAGAUAUUUCCGGAAGAUUCGCUGCUAAGUUUUUUUUCUUACAAGAAACUACUCGCCUAGUACAGCGAUUUUUUUU